rnacentral:rRNA from 1 species
UACAGAGGUCCCAAGCGUUGUUCGGAUUCAUUGGGCGUAAAGGGUGCGUAGGCGGCGCGGUAAGUCGGGUGUGAAAUCUCGGAGCUUAACUCCGAAACUGCAUUCGAUACUGCCGUGCUUGAGGACUGGAGAGGAGACUGGAAUUUACGGUGUAGCGGUGAAAUGCGUAGAUAUCGUAAGGAAGACCAGUGGCGAAAGGCGGGUCUCUGGACAGUUCCUGACGCUGAGGCACGAAGGCCAGGGAGCAAACGGG